AAAAGAUUGAAAGUGGCAUCGCAAGAGGGUAUUGUAAAACAAAUUAAGGAACAGAAGUAUUUAUCAUACACUUCGUCGUUUACUUCAUCUGAAAGUGAAACAGUCUCUUCCAAUGAUGACAGCAGUUAUAAUAAAUCACUGGUCAACAAGAAAAAAGAUGUAAAAUUAGUUAAACGAACUAUCGACAUUGACGUGAAACUUGAAUUAUUAUCACAAAAGGUCGACAAAUUGGAAACUGUGACAGACCGAAUUUUAAAUAAAUUGCAGAUAGCAUGUGAAAAUUUGUCCCCGAAUGCGAAAAGUACUU